UACAGAGGUCUCAAGCGUUGUUCGGAUUCAUUGGGCGUAAAGGGUGUGUAGGUGGCGCGCUAAGUCGGGUGUGAAAUUUCGGAGCUUAACUCCGAAACUGCAUUCGAUACUGGCGUGCUUGAGGACUGGAGAGGAGACUGGAAUUCAUGGUGUAGCAGUGAAAUGCGCAGAUAUCAGGAAGAACACCCGUGGCUAAGGCGGCUCUCUAGUACGGUACUGACGCUGAGACGCGAAAGCGUGGGGAGCGAACAGG
rnacentral:rRNA from 1 species